GACGAACGCUGGCGGCGUGCCUAAUACAUGCAAGUCGAGCGCAGGAAGCUGACGGAACUCUUCGGAGGGAAGGCAGUGGAAUGAGCGGCGGACGGGUGAGUAACACGUAAGGAACCUGCCUCAAGGAUUGGGAUAACUCCGAGAAAUCGGAGCUAAUACCGGAUAGUUCAUCGGACCGCAUGGUCCGUUGAUGAAAGGCGCUUCGGCGUCACCUUGAGAUGGCCUUGCGGUGCAUUAGCUAGUUGGUGGGGUAACGGCCCACCAAGGCGACGAUGCAUAGCCGACCUGAGAGGGUGAUCGGCCACACUGGGACUGAGACACGGCCCAGACUCCUACGGGAGGCAGCAGUAGGGAAUCUUCCACAAUGGACGAAAGUCUGAUGGAGCAACGCCGCGUGAGUGAUGAAGGUUUUCGGAUCGUAAAACUCUGUUGUAAGGGAAGAACACGUACGAGAGGGAAUGCUCGUACCUUGACGGUACCUUACGAGAAAGCCACGGCUAACUACGUGCCAGCAGCCGCAGUAAAAC
rnacentral:rRNA from 1 species